rnacentral:tRNA from 1 species
GAUACGCGUAGCUCAGUUGGCAGAGCAUUGGGCUAGUAUUCCAAAGGUCGUAGGUUCGAUUCCCACCGUGACCG